rnacentral:rRNA from 2 species
UACGUAGGCAGCGAGCGUUGUUCGGAAUUACUGGGCGUAAAGAGUGUGUAGGCGGUGUUCUAAGUCUGGUGUGAAAUCUCCCGGCUCAACUGGGAGGGUGCGCUAGAGACUGGAAUGCUUGAGUAUGGGAGAGGUAAGCGGAAUUCCUGGUGUAGCGGUGAAAUGCGUAGAUAUCAGGAGGAACACCUGUGGUGUAGACAGCUUACUGGACCAUGACUGACGCUGAGACACGAAAGCGUGGGUAGCAAACAGG